CCCUCAGAUGUUCUGGGCUGCACGCGCGCUACACUGAUGCACUCAACGAGUUUACGACCUUGCCCGAUAGGGUUGGGUAAUCUUUUUAAAAUGCAUCGUGAUGGGGAUAGAUUAUUGCAAUUAUUAAUCUUCAACGAGGAAUUCCUAGUAAGCGCGAGUCAUCAGCUCGUGCUGAUUACGUCCCUGCCCUUUGUACACACCGCCCGUCGCUCCUACCGAUUGAGUGCUCAGGUGAAUAAUUCGGACUGCAGCAAUGUUUGGAUCCCGAACGUUGCAGCGGAAAGUUUAGUGAACCUUAUCACUUAGAGGAAGGAGAAGUCGUAACA
rnacentral:rRNA from 1 species